rnacentral:rRNA from 1 species
CAURUAYAWGCAAGUCGAACGCACGAAGUUGAAAAGCUUGCUUUUCGACCAAGUGAGUGGCGGACGGGUGAGUAACACGUGGGUAACCUGCCCAUAAGAGGGGGAUAACAUCCGGAAACGGAUGCUAAUACCGCAUAUUUCAAAUGACCGCAUGGUCGCUUGAUGAAAGGUGGCUUCGGCUACCGCUUAUGGAUGGACCCGCGGUGCAUUAGUUAGUUGGUGAGGUAAUGGCUCACCAAGACAAUGAUGCAUAGCCGACCUGAGAGGGUGAUCGGCCACACUGGGACUGAGACACGGCCCAGACUCCUACGGGAGGCAGCAGUAGGGAAUCUUCCGCAAUGGACGAAAGUCUGACGGAGCAAUGCCGCGUGAGUGAAGAAGGUUUUCGGAUCGUAAAACUCUGUUGUUAGAGAAGAACAAGGAUGAGAGUAACUGCUCAUCCCCUGACGGUAUCUAACCAGAAAGCCACGGCUAACUACGUGCCAGCAGCCGCGGUAAUACGUAGGUGGCAAGCGUUGUCCGGAUUUAUUGGGCGUAAAGCGAGCGCAGGCGGUUCUUUAAGUCUGAUGUGAAAGCCCCCGGCUCAACCGGGGAGGGUCAUUGGAAACUGGAGAACUUGAGUGCAKAAG